CCUACGGGAGGCAGCAGUAAGGAAUAUUGGUCAAUGGACGCAAGUCUGAACCAGCCAUGCCGCGUGGAGGAUGAAGGUCCUCUGGAUUGUAAACUUCUUUUAUGUGGGACGAAAAAGGGCCUUUCUAGGUCAACUGACGGUACCAUAUGAAUAAGCACCGGCUAACUCCGUGCCAGCAGCCGCGGUAAUACGGAGGGUGCAAGCGUUAUCCGGAUUCACUGGGUUUAAAGGGUGCGUAGGUGGGUCGGUAAGUCAGUGGUGAAAUCUCCGAGCUUAACUUGGAAACUGCCAUUGAUACUAUCGAUCUUGAAUACUGUGGAGGUAAGCGGAAUAUGUCAUGUAGCGGUGAAAUGCUUAGAUAUGACAUAGAACACCAAUUGCGAAGGCAGCUUACUACGGAUAUAUUGACACUGAGGCACGAAAGCGUGGGGAUCAAACAGGAUUAGAUACCCUGGUAGUCCGCGCCCUAAACGAUGGAUACUCGACAUCAGCGAUACACUGUUGGUGUCUGAGCGAAAGCAUUAAGUAUCCCACCUGGGAAGUACGAUCGCAAGAUUGAAACUCAAAGGAAUUGACGG
rnacentral:rRNA from 1 species